AUGGGUAGCACCACUUGUCACAAUAUUCAGGUGUUUGACCUGUCUGAUGGGGUUCUCCCUUGCUUACUUGCAAAGUAUUCCUUUCCUCCCGUGUCUCCAAACCAUGGGAGCUGCUUUGGGCUGUGUGGCAUGGCCAGAACAACAGCAACCCAGAGAAGUGAAAGAAAAAACUGUCAUGGCAUGUCACUGAGCACUGAAACUGAACUGAAAGAGACAGAGAUUUUUUCUUCCAAGGUAGAAUCAACAUUCCAGAGGUUUCUCAGGCUAACAUAAUUAUUUUGUUUGGUAUCCACAAAGAUCAGAAGUGUUCUUUAAGAACAGUAGGUAAGAGAAGGAUCAGUUCUAUUACUAAUCAGAUGAACUGGAUAGACUAAAGAGGCAUUAAUAUUUAUAACUCAAAAAUUAAUAUGUAAAUAAUAGUAAUAAUAAUACUUACAUAAUACCCUUUUUAGUAACUUCAAAGGAAGCAAGAGGCAUUUUCUUUAAAUUAUCUCACUUUUACAAGUUUUUUCCCUUAGACACAGCCCAUCAUGGAAAUAAAAGGAGCAAAUAUAACA
rnacentral:lncRNA from 1 species